UGGGGAAUAUUGCACAAUGGGGGAAACCCUGAUGCAGCGACGCCGCGUGAACGAAGAAGGUAUUCGUAUCGUAAAGUUCUGUCCUAUGGGAAGAUAAUGACAGUACCAUAGAAGAAAGCUCCGGCUAAAUACGUGCCAGCAGCCGCGGUAAUACGUAUGGAGCGAGCGUUGUCCGGAAGUAUUGGGCGUAAAGGGUACGCAGGCGGUUUAAUAAGUCGAAUGUUAAAGAUCGGGGCUCAACCCCGUAAAGCAUUGGAAACUGAUAAGCUUGAGUAGUGGAAAGGAAAGUGGAAUUCCUAGUGUAGUGGUGAAAUACGUAGAUAUUAGGAGGAAUACCAGUAGCGAAGGCGACUUUCUGGACACAAACUGACGCUGAGGUACGAAAGCGUGGGGAGCAAACGGG
rnacentral:rRNA from 1 species